GUCAUCGCAGCAUACGCUGCUAGGCUUCCUCGUAAUGAAUUAGUCAGAAAAAGCUAACAGCAGCGGUUGCUAUGGGCACUUCUUUGUCGCUGGUGAGGGCGUGAAGCGUGGCUUCCUACUCCGAGCUUUGGGCUUUUUUCCGGAAAUGCUACACGAUCGUAGCACUACCUGAAUGGUCCUGAGACCGGGCCAUGGCGGGUGCGGCGUCAUCACUGGACUCAGUACAACAAAAACUAUACACCCCUUCAUGUCUACUAUUCUGACCUUCCAUCCUCGUACUCUGAGGGCGACUGCCUCAUGAGAUAACGGUCGCCGCAAGGGGUUCUAUGAGAUCACGUAACACAGACAGCAUCCUUCCUCAUGCUGCUUGAUAUGACGAACGAAAAGUGACGUUUCUCAGUCAUACUGUCAUGCCCUCCUCGUGCUUUGACUUGUUCCAAUUUGCAAAGACAGCGGCAGCACGUACAGUGUGAUUGACAACGACAGUGGCAGCACUUACAGUGUGCACGGCAUCUGCGUGAUGUAUUGUGGUGGAACGCAACACGGUAGGACGAGGUGGUCAAGGCGCACUGAAUUUGUUCUCGCUUUCCAAAUUGCCGUUGUUUUGGUCACGAUACAGUCGUAAUGGUAAAACAAUAUUUGUGUGACAUUUCGCUGUGCUGCAGGCCAGCGAAUUCUGGUGUCGUAUCAGGCUUGAGGUAAGCUUGAUAAUCAACUGGUCCAUAGCGUCGAACUCGCACGGCCUCCGCUUAGUCGCGUUUUAAACGUGGGAAGUACCGGGGGAGACCCCUGGAUGUUUCUCUCACCAUGCCGGUGAAGUGGACAAACACACCGGUAGUGACCGACAGAAUAUCGUCGUUCCUUCAUCAUUUGUUUUAGUGUGCAAAUUGAUGGGGUAAGGAAUCGCAAGCGC
rnacentral:lncRNA from 1 species